rnacentral:sRNA from 1 species
GCUGGGCAUGGUGGCGCAUGCCUGUAAUCCCAGCGGCUCGGGAGGCUGAAGCAGGAGGAUGGUGAGUUCAAAGCCAGCCUCAGCAAUGGCAAGGCACUAAGUAGCUCAGUGAGACCCUGUCUCUA